rfam:Monosiga brevicollis MX1 MONBRscaffold_23 genomic scaffold, whole genome shotgun sequence.
GGGGAUAUGGCGCAGUUGGAAGCGCGUUAGACUGAAGAUCUAAAGGUCCCGCGUUCGAUCCGCGGUGUUCCCA